CAAACGACUCUCGGCAACGGAUAUCUCGGCUCACGCAUCGAUGAAGAACGUAGCAAAAUGCGAUACUUGGUGUGAAUUGCAGAAUCCCGUGAACCAUCGAGUUUUUGAACGCAAGUUGCGCCCAAAGCCAUUUGGUUGAGGGCACGUCUGCAUGGGCGUCACGC
rnacentral:rRNA from 20 species